GAUGAACGCUAGCUACAGGCUUAACACAUGCAAGUCGAGGGGAAACGGCAUCGAAAGCUUGCUUUUGAUGGGCGUCGACCGGCGCACGGGUGAGUAACGCGUAUCCAACCUGCCCAUCACUUGGGAAUAACCUUGCAAAAGUAAGACUAAUGCCCAAUGACAUCCCACGAAGGCAUCCGAAUGGGAUUAAAGAUUUAUCGGUGAUGGAUGGGGAUGCGUCUGAUUAGCUUGUUGGCGGGGUGACGGCCCACCAAGGCAACGAUCAGUAGGGGUUCUGAGAGGAAGGUCCCCCACAUUGGAACUGAGACACGGUCCAAACUCCUACGGGAGGCAGCAGUGAGGAAUAUUGGUCAAUGGGCGAGAGCCUGAACCAGCCAAGUAGCGUGCAGGAUGACGGCCCUAUGGGUUGUAAACUGCUUUUAUAAGGGAAUAAAGUGGGUCACGUGUGACUUUUUGCAUGUACCUUAUGAAUAAGGACCGGCUAAUUCCGUG
rnacentral:rRNA from 1 species